rnacentral:rRNA from 1 species
GACGGACGCUGGUGGCGUGCUUAACACAUGCAAGUCGAACGGGAUUUAGUAAACAGACGCCUCGGUGGAAGAUUACUAAUGAGAGUGGCGAACGGGUGAGUAACGCGUGAGCAACCUGCCUAUGACAGUGGGAUAGCCUCGGGAAACCGGGAUUUAUACCGCAUAAAAUCGUAGAAACACAUGUUUUAACGGUCAAAGAUUUAUCGGUCAUAGAUGGGCUCGCGUCUGAUUAGCUAGUUGGUGAGAUAACAGCCCACCAAGGCGAUGAUCAGUAGCCGGUCUGAGAGGAUGAACGGCCACAUUGGAACUGAGACACGGUCCAAACUCCUACGGGAGGCAGCAGUGGGGAAUAUUGCACAAUGGGGGAAACCCUGAUGCAGCGACGCCGCGUGAACGAAGAAGGUAUUCGUAUCGUAAAGUUCUGUCCUAUGGGAAGAUAAUGACAGUACCAUAGAAGAAAGCUCCGGCUAAAUACGUG